rnacentral:sRNA from 1 species
CAACAACGGAAAGGAGGUGGUCUGAUGUCUCAUUGUCAUAUGCCGCAUGCGGCAACGCUGGUGAGCUUGGCCUCCGCCAUGGAGCGGCCGCUUAUCUGAGCAAAGCCCCUGUUGGCUGACAAUGGAAAGGCCGUCCCGCAAGGGGCGGCCUU